GAUGAACGCUGGCGGCGUGCCUAACACAUGCAAGUCGAACGAGGCCCUUUGUAUUCGUACGAAGGUGUCCUAGUGGCGAACGGGUGAGUAACACGUUGGUGACCUGCCCCAAAGUGGGGGACAACUCCGGGAAACUGGAGCUAAUACCCCAUGUGUUCCAAGGAGUUAGAGGUCCUUGGAGAAAAGGAGUAAUCCGCUUUGGGAGGGGCCUGCGGCCCAUCAGCUAGUUGGUAGGGUAAUGGCCUACCAAGGCUACGACGGGUAGGGGACCUGAGAGGGUCGGCCCCCCACACUGGCACUGAAACACGGGCCAGACACCUACGGGUGGCAGCAGUGGGGAAUAUUGCCCAAUGGACGAAAGUCUGAGGCAGCAACGCCGCGUGCGCGAUGAAGGCCUUCGGGUUGUAAAGCGCUUUUCUGGGGGAAGAGAAAGGACGGUACCCCAGGAAUAAGUCUCGGCUAACUACGUG
rnacentral:rRNA from 1 species